GAUGAACGCUGGCGGCGUGCCUAAUACAUGCGAGUCGAGCGAACGGACGAGAAGCUUGCUCCUCUGAUGUUAGCGGCGGACGGGUGAGUAACACGUGGAUAACCUACCUAUAAGACUGGGAUAACUUCGGGAAACCGGAGCUAAUACCGGAUAAUAUUUUGAACCGCAUGGUUCAAUAGUGAAAGACGGUCUUGCUGUCACUUAUAGAUGGAUCAGCGCUGCAUUAGCUAGUUGGUAAGGUAACGGCUUACCAAGGCAACGAUGCAUAGCUGACCUGAGAGGGUGAUCGGCCACACUGGAACUGAGACACGGUCCAGACUCCUACGGGAGGCAGCAGUAGGGAAUCUUCCGCAAUGGGCGAAAGCCUGACGGAGCAACGCCGCGUGAGUGAUGAAGGUCUUCGGAUCGUAAAACUCUGUUAUUAGGGAAGAACAUAUGUGUAAGUAACUGUGCACAUCUUGACGGUACCUAAUCAGAAAGCCACGGCUAACUACGUG
rnacentral:rRNA from 1 species